GAUGAACGCUAGCGGCAGGCCUAAUACAUGCAGGUCGAACGGGUGGUCGCAAGACCACUAGUGGCGCACGGGUGCGUAACGCGUAACCAACCUGCCCCGAUCUGGGGGAUAGCCCGCCGAAAGGCGGAUUAAUACCGCAUAUACCCGCAGCCUGGCAUCAGGCAACGGGGAAAGAUUUAUUGGAUCGGGAUGGGGUUGCGUGACAUUAGCUAGUUGGCGGGGUAAGGGCCCACCAAGGCGACGAUGUCUAGGGGACCUGAGAGGGUGAUCCCCCACACUGGCACUGAGAUACGGGCCAGACGCCUACGGGAGGCAGCAGUAGGGAAUAUUGGGCAAUGGGCGAGAGCCUGACCCAGCCAUGCCGCGUGCCGGAUGAAGGCCUUCUGGGUUGUAAACGGCUUUUCUCAGGGAAGAAAAAGACCUUGCGAGGUACACUGACGGUACCUGAGGAAUAAGCACCGGCUAACUCCGUG
rnacentral:rRNA from 1 species